rnacentral:sRNA from 1 species
GUAAGAGAUGCUAAAAACCUUGUACCUAUGGACCCCAAUGGCCUGUCAGAUCCCUACGUAAAACUGAAACUGAUUCCCGAUCCCAAAAGUGAGAGCAAACAGAAGACCAAAACCAUCAAAUGCUCCCUCAACCCCGAGUGGAACGAGACAUUUAGAUUUCAGCUGAAAGAAUCGGACAAAGACAGAAGACUGUCAGUAGAGAUCUGGGAUUGGGAUUUGACCAGCAGGAAUGACUUCAUGGGAUCUUUGUCCUUUGGGAUUUCUGAACUGCAAAAAGCCAGUGUUGAUGGCUGGAAUCCCUGGAAGUCCCUGCUGUGUGGAUAGCACCCUUCUCGAUUUCCAGCAAAGAUACAGAUGCUCUCUUGUUUUUGUAUUUCUUUUGGUAAUUUCUGUGGAAUUUUGGAAGAAAAUUUGGAAUAUUAAAUGUGGAGGCGUAGAGGCUUAAAUUGUCUUCUCUGCUUUGAAUCACCUAGCCCAUUUUUGGAAGCUGUGUAAGAAGAUUCGUGAAUGGAGAGAAAACAUUGUGAUGAAAAUUUUAAAC